rnacentral:rRNA from 2 species
GACUAUACAUGCAAGUCGAACGAACUCUGGUAUUGAUUGGUGCUUGCAUCAUGAUUUACAUUUGAGUGAGUGGCGAACUGGUGAGUAACACGUGGGAAACCUGCCCAGAAGCGGGGGAUAACACCUGGAAACAGAUGCUAAUACCGCAUAACAACUUGGACCGCAUGGUCCGAGUUUGAAAGAUGGCUUCGGCUAUCACUUUUGGAUGGUCCCGCGGCGUAUUAGCUAGAUGGUGGGGUAACGGCUCACCAUGGCAAUGAUACGUAGCCGACCUGAGAGGGUAAUCGGCCACAUUGGGACUGAGACACGGCCCAAACUCCUACGGGAGGCAGCAGUAGGGAAUCUUCCACAAUGGACGAAAGUCUGAUGGAGCAACGCCGCGUGAGUGAAGAAGGGUUUCGGCUCGUAAAACUCUGUUGUUAAAGAAGAACAUAUCUGAGAGUAACUGUUCAGGUAUUGACGGUAUUUAACCAGAAAGCCACGGCUAACUACGUGCCAGCAGCCGCGGUAAUACGUAGGUGGCAAGCGUUGUCCGGAUUUAUUGGGCGUAAAGCGAGCGCAGGCGGUUUUUUAAGUCUGAUGUGAAAGCCUUCGGCUCAACCGAAGAAGUGCAUCGGAAACUGGGAAACUUGAGUGCAGAAGAGGACAGUGGAACUCCAUGUGUAGCGGUGAAAUGCGUAGAUAUAUGGAAGAACACCACUGGCGAAUGCGGCUGUCUGGUCUGUAACUGACGCUGAGGCUCGAAAGUAUGGGUAGCAAACACGAUUAGAUACCCUGGUAGUCCAUACCGUAAACGAUGAAUGCUGCUGUUGGAGGGUGUCCGCCCCCCAGUGCUGCAGGCUAACUUCAUCAAGUAAUCCACCAGGUGAGUACAGCCGC